rnacentral:lncRNA from 1 species
GUACGUCAAGGGCCACCGCGCACGGCUGCUGUUCAAGGCGGGGCUGCGCACGCCUGAGGCGGUGGCGGGGUGCGAGCUGGAGAGGCUGAUCGAGAUUCUAUCCGCAGGUAGGGGUGAGGACAGGGUGGGGAGGAGGAGGGGCGGAAUUGGGGGAGGAGGGGUUAUGGCAUUCUCCGUUCUUCUCCGUUCUGGCUUUCCCCUCUUAAAAGAGGAAAGGUAUUAUGUAUUCUUAGUUCCCCCUUCGGUCCGCAUUGCUUCCACUCACAUUCCAGAGUUAAAGAUGAUGAAUUGCAAACCGAUUGCGCGUCACGCAUUGAUUGCCCGUUUUUCCUGUCGUCACCCUCCUUCGCCGCUGCUGGUGGUGGUGUCGGUGCUGGUGCUGGUGCUGCUGGUGCCGGUGCCGGUGCUGGACAGGAGCUCCUCGCAAUCCGGAGCACGAGGAGCAGCAGCGGCGGACGGAGCGCCGUGCCGCCCGAAUGAUCCUGCAGGGCGCCAAGGACCUCGUCAACCAAAAGGUGCGUGCGUGGAGGGGAGGGAAAUGUGAACGAGAGAAUCUGCGGCGGUGGGGGCAAAGCCUCAUCUUUAGCGGCAAUGUCAGCUGCAGCGUCGAAGCGCGAGCCAGCAGAAACGAAGAAGCGUUAGGUCAGUGGUGGAGAGAAGUGAGGCCGGAAAACUUGGGAACGCAGUAGUGUGUGGAGGGAGGGGAGGUGCAAGUAAGUUGGGAGCCAGGACCCCUCCCUCUGAUUGAUCUCUCGCUAACACUCACCAAUCUGACUUGUAUGUACGUAUGUCUUAUUUUUGUCUAUCUAUCUAUCUGUCUGUCUGUCUGUCUGCCUUACAUCUUGUGUUAUCCGUCCGAAGGUACACGAGUUGAAAGAGCAAGCCAAGGCCCUGAGAGCCGCCUUGGAUCCCAGCGCCUCCCAGCAACACUCCGUGCC